CUCAGUCAGAGCGAGAAAGUGCCGGGGUAGCGGGGCUGCGGCUGCUCCGCCUGAAACUUCUGAGUAACAUCAACAGGGGGAGGGGAGGGCGGGCGGCGGUGGAGGAGGAAGGUGGCGGUGGGGGGAAGGUUAGCCAGCAGCGCAGCCCUAUCCGCCUCUCCCUCAUAAACCAGCCUGUGUUGGGCUGAGCAGGCCCCUCACACAAAGGAGGGCAGGGCAGGCAGGGCUGCCCCCCCUUCCCCCCCGCCUCGGCAGAGGGGCAGCGGGGAGGCGCCCUUCCCCGUGCACAGCACUCACAGCCACUUACUCCUCUCCCGUCCCCCGUCUUCUCUCUCCCCCCCUUCCCCUCACCUCCCCCCACGGUUCUCCCCUCAGCCCCCCGCCCGCUGUCCAUGUAGCCGUCCGGCCGCCGGCCCCUCCGCACUAUGCCCAUCUUACUCUUCCUGAUAGACACGUCCGCCUCCAUGAACCAGCGCACCCAUCUGGGCACCACCUAUCUGGACAUAGCCAAAGGCGCUGUAGAGACUUUCAUGAAGCUCCGAGCCCGGGACCCGGCCAGCAGGGGAGACAGGUACAUGCUGGUCACUUUCGAGGAGCCUCCCUACGCUAUCAAGGCUGGCUGGAAGGAAAACCAUGCAACGUUUAUGAAUGAACUGAAAAACCUUCAAGCUGAAGGACUUACGACUCUUGGCCAGUCCCUAAGGACAGCUUUUGAUUUAUUAAACUUAAAUAGAUUAGUAACUGGCAUAGACAACUAUGGGCAGGGACGAAACCCUUUUUUUCUGGAGCCAGCAAUAAUUAUAACAGUUACUGAUGGAAGUAAAUUAACUACUACCAGUGGGAUACAGGAAGAGCUCCAUUUACCUCUCAAUUCCCCUUUACCUGGAAGUGAGUUGACUAAGGAGCCCUUUCGAUGGGAUCAGAGGUUAUUUGCUUUGGUUCUUCGUUUGCCUGGUAUUACAGCACCAGAAUCAGAACAGAUGACAGGGGUGCCUGUGGAUGACUCUGCUAUCACACCUAUGUGUGAAGUCACAGGAGGUCGGUCAUAUUGUGUGUGCUCUCCAAGAAUGCUGAAUCAAUGUCUUGAGUCAUUGGUGCAAAAAGUGCAAAGUGGAGUGGUAAUAAAUUUUGAAAAAGCUGGACCAGAUCCCUCACCCAUUGAUGAUGGGCAGGUGGAGAUAUCCAGACCCUUUGGACCCCAACCUUGGCACAGCUGUCACAAACUUAUCUAUGUCAGACCAAACCCUAAAACUGGGGUUCCUAUAGGACAUUGGCCUGUUCCUGAGUCCUUUUGGCCAGAUCAAAAUUCUCCAACACUGCCACCUCGCACAUCUCAUCCUGUGGUGAAAUUUUCCUGUACUGACUGUGAACCGAUGGUCAUUGACAAACUGCCUUUUGAUAAAUAUGAAUUAGAACCUUCACCACUGACCCAGUUUAUCCUGGAAAGAAAAUCCCCUCAGACCUGCUGGCAGGUGUAUGUGAGCAAUAGUGCAAAAUACAGUGAACUUGGUCAUCCUUUUGGUUACUUGAAAGCUAGUACAGCGCUGAAUUGUGUGAAUUUAUUUGUGAUGCCUUACAAUUACCCAGUCCUGCUUCCAUUGCUAGAUGACUUGUUUAAAGUACACAAGGCAAAGCCUACGUUGAAAUGGCGUCAGUCAUUUGAAAGCUAUUUGAAGACAAUGCCUCCUUAUUAUCUUGGGCCUUUGAAGAAAGCUGUGAGAAUGAUGGGAGCACCAAACCUUAUAGCUGACAAUGUGGAAUAUGGACUUAGUUACAGUGUCAUUUCAUAUCUCAAAAAGUUGAGUCAGCAGGCCAAAAUAGAGUCCGAUAGAGUCAUUGGCUCUGUAGGCAAAAAGGUAGCGCAAGAGACUGGAAUUAAGGUCAGAAGCAGAUCACACAACCUGUCUAUGGCACAUAGGAACGAUUUUCAACAUCUGCUACAGGGGAUUACUGGGGAAAUUCCUCAUAGACCUCUAGACCUCAAUAUGAAGGAGUAUGCUGGGUUCCAAAUAGCUUUGCUGAAUAAGGAUUUGAAACCUCAGACAUUUAGAAAUGCUUAUGACAUACCCAGAAGAAAUCUUUUGGAUCAGUUAACACGAAUGAGAUCUAAUUUAUUGAAGAGUACUUGCAAGUUCCUCAAAGGACAAGAUGAAGAUCAAGUUCACAGCGUACCUAUAGCACAAAUGGGGAACUACCAGGAAUAUCUAAAACAGAUACCUUCUCCACUCCGAGAACUUGAUCCUGAUCAACCACGAAGGCUUCAUACAUUUGGCAAUCCAUUCAAAUUGGACAAAAAGGGAAUGAUGAUAGAUGAAGCAGAUGAAUUCGUAUCAGGACCUCAAAAUAAACAUAAAAGACCUGGAGAACCAAAUAUGCAAGGGAUUCCAAAAAGGCGACGUUGUAUGUCCCCCCUGCUCAGAGGGCGACCACAAACUCUUCCAGUUGUCAAUAACCACAUUGGAGGGAAAGGGCCCCCAACACCAAUUGCACAAGCACAGCCUGACCUUAUUAAACCCAUUGCCAUUCACAAAACAUCAGAAACAAAUAAUGAAGUUGGAGUUGAUGAUGUCAUUGAGAAUCACAGUACAGGCACCCUUUCAUCGGAUGUUUUCCCAAAUGCUGUGGAUUCAGAGUUUUCACUGUCCUCUUCACCAUUUAAUUCAUUGGAUCGACCAGCAGCUCAUACAGAGGAUAACAUAGGUCAUGAACAUUUAGGGAAUAAUUUGAAUGUUGAUGGGUAUUUGGAGAAUCACGAGGAAUCAAGUAGUAAAGAGCAAAGUCCGGAAGAGAACUUGACAAUGUCUUCACCUAGCAAAGGGAAAAAACCAGUGCACUGCAGGAGUUCCAGAGAGAUUAAUAUAGAGCUAAGAGCACAAAUUAUGAAAGAGAUCCGAAAACCAGGAAGGAAAUAUGAAAGAAUCUUCUUUUUGCUGAAGCAUGUGCAAGGAAGCUUACAAACCCGGCUGAUAUUUUUACAGAAUGUUAUAAAAGAAGCUUCGAGCAUACUUCAUUCAGAGAUAGCGUAGUCCUGUCUGGGACUUUGGAAAUGGAGGUGGCUUUUCUCUGAAGAAGAGUGACUUGAUAAGGAUUUAAACCCUGUGUUUUUCAUCCAGGUAGAAACUGUUCCUUACAGUAUCUUUAGAGUGUCCAUACUUAGCCUUCUACGUGCUUACUGAGAGGAAAAAAGGAGAAAUGUAUUAGAACCAAUAGUGUUUGAGUUGCAGGGAAUGAGUAAUUCCAGGAUCUUGCAAGGAUCGUAAAUAACCAGACCUUUGAGGCUUACUUUGGAAACCUCAAAGAAUAGCUGCUUCUUAUUCUCUAAUCUGUUUUGUAGUAGUCAGCUCUUUUCCUGUGGCAUUAAGCAAAUUUCAUUAUUAAAAAUGAAAUAAUUUUAGGAGAAAACCGUACCUCUCAAGGUAUGCUGGAUGUUGGACAUUCACACAGAUCCUCUGGCCUUCUACUGCCAGCUUGGUGGGGCAUGUAAAUUCAUGUAGAUUGUGCUCUCUUCCUAUAGCAACCAUUGCUGUAUUGUGCUUUUCUUGAUUGUUAUAUUGCCUGUCAGAGUUGUUCCCCAUGUUGCAAAUUAUAAUUCUUCCUCACUGUCACAGCACACCGUAACAAUACUGUUGCUCUUGGAGUUUGUGGCAGCCCCUAGUGGGGUUGGAAUUUUUAUGCUGUAAAAUUAGGCUUUUGAGAUCACCUGUAACUCUCAUUUCUCUUGCACAGUCUCUUUAUUCCAGCCAUCUUUAGCUGACAAUUCUACAAAAUUUGGCAGUGGUUGAGUGUUGCUCUUGGAUGCAGAAGGGAUUCUGGGGAGGCUUGUGAUCUGGAAAUUAGGGCAGGUACCAUGUCUCUGUGAGCCAAGGGCAUGGACCAGGAUUCCUGACUAGAACUAGAAGCUUCUGCUGGGGUUUAGUGAAGUCACAGGACUGAAUUUGGGAUAUAGUGCAAAAUAUUUUCAUUGCUGCCUGUCUUUGAACACACAUAUGGCUACCAAAGCAUUGGUCAGAAGUGGCUUCUCUGUGGUGCAGAUAUGUUGCACGAGGGAGGGGUUAGGUGGAAACAGCUAGGAGUUGUACUUCCUGAGGUAGGGGUGUAAGCAAAGGUGACAGAAUGGUCUGCUGAUCAAAUUUAUACAACUGAUAUGGAAUAGCUGCAGAGACUCCAGAGAUACAGAGUUUGGAUGCCUGUAUUUUCCUUUAAUUUCUUUCUCAAAGUUUUAAUUUGUGUUGUGUGUCAGGAAAUCUGCUUUGCACUGUGUAAUGGCUGUUCCUCCACCAGUACCAACUUUAACAUGGGUGAAUGCAUCAUGAAGGCAUGCAAAUAAUCCCUAAAAUUGUUUGCCAGCUUUAGGAUUAUAGUUCUUUUGAAGUACAUUUUAUUUCUGUGCUUCAGAACUUCUCUUCUGGAAGCAACAAACUCUUAAGUGUCUUUUUCCUGGAUUUCUGAGAGCUGAGUGAUGUUCAGCUAUAAUAAACUCUCGUAAAUGUAGUUUUGUAUUCAGCAAAUGGAAAAGCAAGUUAGUGGUUUACCAGAAUGUUAGGAGACAGUGUAUGUAUACAAAUGAGGUAUACGUAUACCUCAUCAUACACUGCUCCUGAAGUAGUAACUGAAGUUUCCAGAGCUGAGUAAAAGUUUUGUCAGUGAUGUUUCAUGUAUUACUCUGUGCAUCCAUUGUAAUGCUU